UAAAAAGUCAACAAAGAAAAUGAGGGAAGGGACUCCUCAAAGAAAUAAUGUAACAAAAUCUCUCAGAACGAAGAGUCAUGAGAUUCCAGAUGGAAAGAGCCAGCCAAGUAGCCACGCAAUUUAAGAGCACCAUCAUACCAGGGCACUUUGUCCGAAAUUUUCAGAAUUCCAGGACAAAGAGAAGAGGUUUAAAACUUCUAAAGCCUCUUGCAGAAAGCUAACAAAAGAUGAGUUCCACCAAAAGGAGCAGUUUAUUCCAAUAAAGAGGAAGACAUGGGGUAAAAGAAAAGAGAAAUCAGAACAGGAAGAGGCAAAGCAUGGGUGAUGAGAAAUCCCAAGACCAGCUGUGUGCCCAGUGCAGACAAGAAGUCCAGUGUAGAGGAAAUUAGAAGAGAUGGCUCUAGAAAAAUGAAAUUAAUAGAUCACCUGAUGUAUCCGAAAGUCUUGAGGGAAAACUUAGACAAUUUGGGAAAUUUUUGAGUGGAAUUAAUAAAAAGACCAAAAAAAAAUCAAGAGAAAAAGAUUAUUAACUCCAAGAAAAACAAAAGUUUAUUCAGAGACAAAAAAUGAUCAUAAUUUACUACAUGGAUGGCACCACUGUGACUAGCAUUUACAUGUAAAUGGUGAAUAUUGAGGUAAUUAUUCUACAACAGAACUAUUUUGGGAGUUGGGAGAAUAGGAAGAGUCUGCGUGGUGGUAGAGGGGGCGGAAGCAACAGUCAAAUGAUCAGCUUUUGCAGGAGAGAGAUCACCUACAACUGAAAAGGUGAAAAGUAGAAAGACAAGCAGCCAUUCAGAGAAAUGGAGGUAAAACUUCCUUACUUGCUGAAAGUAGGAAAAGUGGUGUCUCUGGGAGGAGAAAAUAAGGGGAAAGGGGGGGUAGAGCCUAUUGUUUUUCACAACCAGCUUGUUCGCUUAAACUCUGGUUAUGUAUAACUUUGGUAAAAACUAAGGCAAGCAUAUGCAAAAAUAUUCAAACUAACAGAGGAAUUAGCAUUGAGAGCAUUUGCUCCCGGUACCAUAAAACCUGGAGUUUCCAACAAAAUUUCUGUCCAAACUGGCUUCAAUUAGGAAAAAAACAAAAAUUUAGACAUAUACUUAAAGUCAUGGGAGUUAGAAAUUACUGGAGUUUUCUGGAACUGCAAAUCUUCUGGAAGUAAUAAAAAUUAAGAAAGAUACUGGAAGCGAAAAGUAGAGUGGCUCAUAUGAGUUUUAAAGAGCUGAAAUUAUUUUAUGAAAAUAUGAAUUGUAAUUGUGGGUUGGCUGAUGUCUUCAGUGCCUAAGCACAAGUGUUUUCACAUAAGGCAAACCAUGUGAUAGGUUAUUUCUCUCCACAGUAAAGGAUGACCUUGGACCCACAUAAGGGUUGAUGUUGAGACUUGGGCUAUAUUUGACCAUUCUUCAAUUUACUUCUAAUUUGUGAUUAGAAAUGAUCUAAACUCCAGACAUGCCCAGGAGUUCUAAAUCUCAGUUUUCAAGAAAGAAAAUUCAGUCUGGCGAGUUACAAGUGACAGGCGGUUCAAGAAGGAAUCGUCAGGGACUUGCAACCCUCUGGGUGGCUGAGAAGAAAAACAAUCACUAAGAACCAGGAAUCAAAGACUAGUUAGUCACUGUCUUAUUAUGAAGUAGUAAGAACAAGAAACUCAUCACACAAACGACUGUCUGGCCCUACAGUGACUGACGGUGCACUCUGCUCCCAUCUCUUGGGGUUUUAGUGAAUUGUACUUUGCCAGCGAAGUUGGGAAAAUGCAUAAAAACAAUCUCAUCCCAUCUUGGGUGGGCAGGACAAUCAGAAAGAAAAUAUAAUAAACCAAUUCAUGGGAAUGGUAGGGGAGCAUCCUGUAACGUUCAAAGCCAGCACACAUGAGCCAGGAUGUCAGUCAUAUAAAAUCAAUAAACUAGUGCUGGAUUCCAAGACGGCAACUCUAUUUUUUCUUCUCUGAAACAUUCCAACCCAAAAGGCUCUGGAAGUAGCGUCCUGGGCCAAUUUCCUAAUCCCAAGAACUCUUCAGCAGGCUAUCCAGAGAUAAUGUCAUUAGAAAUGCUAGACUACCUUCUUGGUUGAUUUAAAGUCUGAUAUGAAGUCAACUGCAGCUAUAAAACUGGACAAUAAAUCCUAAUCUUGCCCCCUGAAGACCAAGAGAAAGAAAAAAGCGUUCUUCAGAUCAGCAUGGAUUUCUUCGUGUUUCGUGAAUUAUAAUAGUAAAAUAGUAAGUCUCACUCUUCGUCCAACCCCAGAAGCCGUGCAGCUGUUGUUAGACGAGGCAAGCCUAACUCCUUGUGCAUCAGUCAGGGCCACAGCAGGACACAAAAGUUCAUUCAAAGGCCUGCUUUAUAAGAUGUAAAUGCAAGGACUCUUUUUUUUUUUUUUUUUUUUUUUUGAGACGGAGUCUGCUCUGUCGCCCAGGCUAGAGUGCAGUGGCGCGAUCUCGGCUCACUGACUGCAAGCUCCACCUCCCGGGUUCACACCAUUCUCCUGCCUCAGCCUCCGGAGUAGCUGGGACUACAGGCGCCCGCGACCACGCCCAACUAAUUUUUUGUAUUUUUAGUAGAGACGGGGUUUCACUGUGUAGCCAGGAUGGUCUUGAUCUCCUGACCUUGUGAUCCGCCCACCUCAGCCUCCCAAAGUGCUGGGAUUACAGGCAUGAGCCACCGCGCCCGGCCCAAUGCAAGGACUCUUUACAGAGCUGUAGACCACAUUAAAUGUAGGCAACAUGAAAGAUGCUGAGGCACUCAGAGAUUAGCAAGAUUAGAAAACCAUUGUGGCCCCUCCUCUUGAAGGAGCAAGGAGAGAAAAGAGUGUGAUCAGAGCUCAGUAGCUAUAAUUUUGGAGGGACACAGUUAUUGUCUGAACAGGGUACUGACAUGGGGAAGGAAAGGGGAAGAAAGAUCCUAACCCCUCUCUCCUCCUGAUAUCCAUCCUCUCGUGCCUUGAAGCUAGCCCACAAGAAGCUGAAAAGCCAAGUUCAGAGGGGUUGGUUUCCCAGCAUUCAGACAGAAGAGUGGGAAAAGGGGUGAGGUGGGCAGAAGGAAGAAACAACACACCUUGGACUUGAUUUGGAGCCUGCCUGAAAUUGAUUUUUCAGAAGCUGAAAAAGCUGGAGUGCAAUGGCACCAUCUCAGCUCACUGCGACCUCCACCUCCCAUGUUCAAGUGAUUCUCCUGCCUCAGCCUCCCAAGUAACUGGGAUUACAGGCAUGCGCCACCAUGCCCCACUAAUUCUGUAUUUUUAGUAGAGAUGGGGUUUCUCCAUGUUGGUCAGGCUGGUCUUGAACUCCUGACCUCAGGUGAUCCGCCCCCCCUUGACCUCCCAAAGUGCUGGGAUUACAGGCGUGAGCCACCAUGCUGGGAUAAUUUUGUAUUUGUAGUAGAGAUGGGGUUUCACUAUGUUGGUCAGGCCGGUCUUGAACUCCUGACCUCAAGUGAUCCACCCACCUCAGCCUCUCAAAGUGCUGGGAUUACAGGCGUGAGCCACCACGCCCAGCCCACUUUCUUUAACUUUAAUAGAAUGAAAAUACAAAUCAAACCAAUCCAAUUUCUUGAGAAUAAAUUUUGAACUUGUAACACCAUUUCAAUAUAAAAAUGACACUUUGUUGCCUUUAGGUGUGUCUACUAAUAUUUUGCAUGCUGGACUUCGUGGGUCAGGAGAACAGUAGAGACAGAGGUAAAUAGUAGUUAGGCCAGGAAGCCAGGAAAUCCACAGACCUCCUCCUCUGUCUGGCUGUCUUGUGGGGUUAAGUCAAUCUCUUAGGAGCUGAGUUGGGCUUGGGUUUGUUGUUGCUUCGAUACUUUCAGUGCAUGGACUUCAAUGCCCCCAUCUGUGGGCUGCUGUUUCCUGUGUGCAGAGUGGGUCUGGCAUGUUGGAGGGGCUUUCUCAGUGUUCUUGCUCCACUCCCAACUUCCAGCAACCCCUGGAAGCCUGUGCCACAGAGGGAGUUACUCUCCAUGUUCCUGCCCUUGCCCCAGGGGUUGACGCUGGGUCUUGGUACUUGGAGGAUUGGGUUGGGGCAGGAGAGCUCUCUGUUCUCUCCACCCAGGCUUAGUCUCAGGCCCUCCACUGGGCUAAGGAAUGGGUGGGCUUUCUCACAGUCCCUCCCUCCUGCCCCAUGGCAUAGAAUUCAGCCUUGGAGCUAGGUCAGGUGAGAGUGUCUGCC
rnacentral:lncRNA from 10 species